UACGUAGGGUGCAAGCGUUGUCCGGAAUUAUUGGGCGUAAAGAGCUCGUAGGCGGUCUGUCGCGUCGGAUGUGAAAAUCCAGGGCUCAACCCUGGACCUGCAUUCGAUACGGGCAGACUAGAGUUCGGUAGGGGAGACUGGAAUUCCUGGUGUAGCGGUGAAAUGCGCAGAUAUCGGGAGGAACACCGGUGGCGAAGGCGGCGACCUGGUUCGAUACUGACACUGAGGUGCGAAAGCGUGGGGAGCAAACAGG
rnacentral:rRNA from 1 species